rnacentral:rRNA from 1 species
GUCCACGCCGUAAACGAUGUCGACUAGCCGUUGGGAUCCUUGAGAUCUUAGUGGCGCAGCUAACGCAUUAAGUCGACCGCCUGGGGAGUACGGCCGCAAGGUUAAAACUCAAAUGAAUUGACGGGGGCCCGCACAAGCGGUGGAGCAUGUGGUUUAAUUCGAAGCAACGCGAAGAACCUUACCAGGCCUUGACAUCCUAUGAACUUUCCAGAGAUGGAUUGGUGCCUUCGGGAGCAUAGAGACAGGUGCUGCAUGGCUGUCGU